UCCUAUUUUUCAAUCCUUCGCAAGACAAUUUGACACCUACAAGCCUCCCCCAAUACGAGAAAGAGCUUAGACACACACGCUUCCUUGUAGCCCUAGCUACGAAUUAAGCAACCUAAUCCACUUACAAAAAGCUUCUGGAGACGAAGGAAAGGAGUAGAAGUUUAGGCAGGACGAACAUGAUUGUUUUCAACAAUAACUUCAAAUUAGAACUCGGCAUACAGAAGUUUGACGAGGCAGAGAAAGUUAAAGGCUGCGCCAAAGAAGAACGGACAAUCAAUCCCAAGAAGCUAACUGUUAAGCAAGCUAUAGCUCGAGGAACUUUUGCUUCUGUUCACCGAGGGGAUUAUGACGGUAGAGACAUUGCAGGAUAGUCUUACCAUCCAUACUUUCUUAUUUAAUGUGUUAGCUUUCUUAGUUAAAAAACCGGAUUUUCCUCUGUUACUAACAAUCUUGAUCAAUUUAGUUUUGUUUUCGUUUUCAUUUUACUUACGGUAUUAGGGUUCUCUCCCUAUCUCAGUUUAGGUGCUGGACUGGGGUGAUGAAGAUCAAAAGACAAAAGCUCAAAUUUCUACACUUAGGAAAGCAUUUAGGCAAAGAGGCUUUUGCUUGGCAUAACCUGUCUCAUCUCAUCCCAACGUUGCUGUUGAUAGGUGCUGUAAAGGGCAAAUCAGAAAUAAAAUCCCAAACCCCCAGUGAUCAUAAUCAAGCUCAGAUUCUCAGUUCUUAAAUAUCUGAGGAUUAAUUUGGCCUGAAAUUAUGCUUUCACAAACUACAGAAUAUGCAUCAACUGCCGUUUCAAGGGCUAGCCACAAAUUCAGCAAAAAGAAGUGCUGCUCAUUGUCUCUCCAAAUUCU
rnacentral:misc_RNA from 1 species